rnacentral:rRNA from 1 species
UACAGAGGGUGCGAGCGUUAAUCGGAAUUACUGGGCGUAAAGCGCGCGUAGGCGGUUUUGCAAGUCGGAUGUGAAAUCCCCGGGCUUAACCUGGGAACUGCAUUCGAGACUGCAUUGCUAGAGUAUGGGAGAGGGAAGUGGAAUUUCAGGUGUAGCGGUGAAAUGCGUAGAUAUCUGAAGGAACAUCAGUGGCGAAAGCGACUUCCUGGACCAAUACUGACGCUCAUGUGCGAAAGCGUGGGGAGCAAACAGG